GGGUUGUGAGGUUAAGCGACUAAGCGUACACGGUGGAUGCCCUGGCAGUCAGAGGCGAUGAAGGACGUGCUAAUCUGCGAUAAGCGUCGGUAAGGUGAUAUGAACCGUUAUAACCGGCGAUUUCCGAAUGGGGAAACCCAGUGUGAUUCGUCACACUAUCAUUAACUGAAUCCAUAGGG
rnacentral:rRNA from 1 species